rnacentral:rRNA from 1 species
GACGAACGCUGGCGGCGUGCUUAACACAUGCAAGUCGAACGGAAAGGCCCUGCUUUUGUGGUGGUCUCGAGUGGCGAACGGGUGAGUAACACGUGAGUAACCUUCCCUUGACUUUGGGAUAACUUCAGGAAACUGGGUCUAAUACCGGAUAGGAGCUCCUGCGGCAUGGUGGGGGUUGGAAAGUUUGGGCGGUUGGGGAUGGACGCGCGGCUUAUCAGCUUGUUGGUGGGGUAGUGGCUUACCAAGGCUUUGACGGGUAGCCGGCCUGAGAGGGUGACCGGCCACAUUGGGACUGAGAUACGGACCAGACUCCUACGGGAGGCAGCAGUGGGGAAUAUUGCACAAUGGGCGGAAGCCUGAUGAAGCAACGCCGCGUGCGGGAUGAAGGCCUUCGGGUUGUAAACCGCUUUCGCCUGUGACGAAGCGUGAGUGACGGUACUGGGUAAAGAAGCACCGGCUAACUACGUG